CCAGCUGUUUUAAAAAUGUGUUAAGUUCCCUUUGCAUUAAACACAAAAUCAUUAUAAAUAAAUAUGUGAUGCCAAUCUAAUAAUAACAUAGUGGAUGCUCAAUUUGGUGGUGCAUCUUAUGACUUGUACAUAUGGAACCAGUGCAAUAAGAUCACUUGAGGAAAACCUGCCCAAUAGGGACCGCUGUUGGUUGUUAGGUGACCAAUGUUUGCAUGAUGACCCCCAUCUUGGGAGCUGCUCCUAGAUCCCAUGAAGAUAUGCACAACAUUGCUGUGUCAGAAAUACGGUGGAGCCUUGUAGUUGGGUGCAUAUUGUAAAAUGUUUCCUCACUCCAAAACCAUGAACUCUGGUUUCCUAAACCCUCAAGCUAUGCAGCCGAAGGAGGAGACUUAUCACAGGAGAAUCACUAAUAAUUUUGAAGAAGUGAAGAGCUUAACAAUGUUUCAACCAACACCUAAAGAAGCUUUCACUUGGCUGUUAGAUCAAGGGCUGGAUACAGAAAACAGUAAUCCUUGUGAUGGCAGUAUUGUCCAAGGAUUCCUCACUCAAAACCAUGAUAACAAGUUGCUAGAACCCUCAAGCUAUGCAGACAAAGGACUGGAUAUAUUUUUUCGUGACCAAGCCUUCUGUAUAAUUAUUUAUACUUAAACCAUACAAAGCACUAUCUAGCCCCAAAGUAGGCAUACAGAGUAGCUUGUGUUGUGGGUACUAAGA
rnacentral:misc_RNA from 1 species